rnacentral:rRNA from 1 species
AGUACGGGCGGCUGCAGUGGGGAAUAUUGCACAAUGGGCGCAAGCCUGAUGCAGCCAUGCCGCGUGUGUGAAGAAGGCCUUCGGGUUGUAAAGCACUUUCAGCGGGGAGGAAGGCGUUAAGGUUAAUAACCUUGUCGAUUGACGUUACCCGCCGAAGAAGCACCGGCUAACUCCGUGCCAGCAGCCGCGGUAAUACGGAGGGUGCAAGCGUUAAUCGGAAUUACUGGGCGUAAAGCGCACGCAGGCGGUCUGUCAAGUCGGAUGUGAAAUCCCCGGGCUCAACCUGGGAACUGCAUUCGAAACUGGCAGGCUAGAGUCUUGUAGAGGGGGGUAGAAUUCCAGGUGUAGCGGUGAAAUGCGUAGAGAUCUGGAGGAAUACCGGUGGCGAAGGCGGCCCCCUGGACAAAGACUGACGCUCAGGUGCGAAAGCGUGGGGAGCAAACAGGAUUAGAUACCCCUGUAGUC